rnacentral:rRNA from 1 species
AGAGUUUGAUCCUGGCUCAGGAUGAACGCUAGCGGCAGGCCUAAUACAUGCAAGUCGAACGAUACCAGAGAGCUUGCUUUCUGGGAAAGUGGCGCACGGGUGCGUAACGCGUAUGCAACCUACCUUAAUCAGGGGGAUAGCCUCUCGAAAGAGAGAUUAACACCGCAUAAAAUCACACUUCGGCAUCGAAGAAUGAUCAAAUAUUUAUAGGAUUAAGAUGGGCAUGCGUGACAUUAGCUAGUUGGUAAGGUAACGGCUUACCAAGGCUACGAUGUCUAGGGGAUCUGAGAGGAUGACCCCCCACACUGGUACUGAGACACGGACCAGACUCCUACGGGAGGCAGCAGUAAGGAAUAUUGGUCAAUGGGGGCAACCCUGAACCAGCCAUGCCGCGUGCAGGAAGACGGCCCUACGGGUUGUAAACUGCUUUUAUACGGGAAUAAAUCUCGCUACGUGUAGUGAGUUGAAUGUACUGUAAGAAUAAGGAUCGGCUAACUCCGUGCCAGCAGCCGCGGUAAUACGGAGGAUCCAAGCGUUAUCCGGAUUUAUUGGGUUUAAAGGGUGCGUAGGCGGCCUAUUAAGUCAGGGGUGAAAGACGGUGGCUCAACCAUCGCAGUGCCCUUGAUACUGAUGGGCUUGAUUACACUUGAGGUAGGCGGAAUGUGACAAGUAGCGGUGAAAUGCAUAGAUAUGUCACAGAACACCAAUUGCGAAGGCAGCUUACUAAGGUGUCAAUGACGCUGAGGCACGAAAGCGUGGGGAUCAAACAGGAUUAGAUACCCUGGUAGUCCACGCCCUAA